GGUUUCGUAGUGUAGCGGUGAUCACGUUCGCCUAACACGCGCAAGGUCCUCAUUUCGAUCCUGGGCGGCAACA